UACGAAGGGGGCUAGCGUUGCUCGGAAUUACUGGGCGUAAAGAGCUCGUAGGCGGUUCGGCAAGUCAGCUGUGAAAUCUCCACGCUCAACGUGGAGGGGUCAGCUGAUACUGCUGUGACUUGAGUCCGGUAGGGGAGUGUGGAAUUCCCGGUGUAGCGGUGAAAUGCGCAGAUAUCGGGAGGAACACCAGUAGCGAAGGCGGCACUCUGGGCCGGUACUGACGCUGAGGAGCGAAAGCGUGGGGAGCAAACAGG
rnacentral:rRNA from 1 species